GGCCCUACCAUGCUGAACAUACCGGUUUCAGUUUGAUCACCGAAGUCAAGCAUCAUCGGGAGCGAUCAGUACUUGGGAGGGUGGACACCUGGGCA